rnacentral:rRNA from 1 species
GAUGAACGCUGGCGGCGUGCCUAAUACAUGCAAGUCGAGCGAACAGAUGAGGAGCUUGCUCCUCUGACGUUAGCGGCGGACGGGUGAGUAACACGUGGAUAACCUACCUAUAAGACUGGGAUAACUUCGGGAAACCGGAGCUAAUACCGGAUAAUAUAUUGAACCGCAUGGUUCAAUAGUGAAAGACGGUUUUGCUGUCACUUAUAGAUGGAUCCGCGCCGCAUUAGCUAGUUGGUAAGGUAACGGCUUACCAAGGCAACGAUGCGUAGCCGACCUGAGAGGGGAACGGGCCACCCUGGACUUGAGAACGGGUCCAGCUCCCAACGGGAGGCAGCGGUAGGAAUCUUCCGCAAUGGGCGAAAGCCUGACGGAGCAACGCCGCGUGAGUGAUGAAGGUCUUCGGAUCGUAAAACUCUGUUAUUAGGGAAGAACAAAUGUGUAAGUAACUAUGCACGUCUUGACGGUACCUAAUCAGAAAGCCACGGCUAACUACGUG